CCUACGGGAGGCAGCAGUGGGGAAUAUUGGACAAUGGGGGGAACCCUGAUCCAGCCAUGCCGCGUGUGUGAAGAAGGCCCUCGGGUUGUAAAGCACUUUCAGCGAGGAAGAACGCCUAGCGGUUAAUACCCGCUAGGAAAGACAUCACUCGCAGAAGAAGCACCGGCUAACUCCGUGCCAGCAGCCGCGGUAAUACGGAGGGUGCAAGCGUUAAUCGGAAUUACUGGGCGUAAAGCGCGCGUAGGUGGCUUGAUAAGCCGGUUGUGAAAGCCCCGGGCUCAACCUGGGAACGGCAUACGGAACUGUCAAGCUAGAGUGCAGGAGAGGAAGGUAGAAUUCCCGGUGUAGCGGUGAAAUGCGUAGAGAUCGGGAGGAAUACCAGUGGCGAAGGCGGCCUUCUGGACUGACACUGACACUGAGGUGCGAAAGCGUGGGUAGCAAACAGGAUUAGAUACCCUGGUAGUCCACGCCGUAAACGAUGUCGACCAGCCGUUGGGUGCCUAGCGCACUUUGUGGCGAAGUUAACGCGAUAAGUCGACCGCCUGGGGAGUACGGCCGCAAGGUUAAAACUCAAAUGAAUUGACGGA
rnacentral:rRNA from 1 species